rnacentral:rRNA from 1 species
UACGUAGGGUGCAAGCGUUGUCCGGAUUUAUUGGGCGUAAAGAGCUCGUAGGCGGUUUGUCGCGUCUGCUGUGAAAUCCCCGAGGCUCAACCUCGGGUCUGCAGUCGAUACGAGCAAACUAGAGUGUUGCAGGGGAGACUGGAAUUCCUGGUGUAGCGGUGAAAUGCGCAGAUAUCAGGAGGAACACCGGUGGCGAAGGCGGGUCUCUGGGCAACAACUGACGCUGAGGAGCGAAAGCGUGGGGAGCGAACAGG